rnacentral:rRNA from 1 species
UUCCAGACUCCUACGGGAGGCAGCAGUGGGGAAUAUUGCACAAUGGGGGAAACCCUGAUGCAGCGACGCCGCGUGGGCGAGGAAGUACCUCGGUAUGUAAAGCCCUAUCAGCAGGGAAGAAACAGGACAGUACCUGACUAAGAAGCCCCGGCUAACUACGUGCCAGCAGCCGCGGUAAUACGUAGGGGGCGAGCGUUAUCCGGAAUUACUGGGUGUAAAGGGAGCGUAGACGGCGAGGUAAGCCUGAAGUGGAAGCCCGCGGCCCAACCGCGGAACUGCUUUGGGAACUGUUUUGCUGGAGUAUGGGAGGGGUAAGCGGAAUUCCUGGUGUAGCGGUGAAAUGCGUAGAUAUCAGGAGGAACACCGGUGGCGAAGGCGGCUUACUGGACCAUAACUGACGUUGAGGCUCGAAAGCGUGGGGAGCAAACAGGAUUAGAUACCCGUGUAA